rnacentral:rRNA from 1 species
GAUGAACGCUGGCGGCGUACCUAAUACAUGCAAGUCGAGCGAACAGACGAGGAGCUUGCUCCUCUGACGUUAGCGGCGGACGGGUGAGUAACACGUGGAUAACCUACCUAUAAGACUGGGAUAACUUCGGGAAACCGGAGCUAAUACCGGAUAAUAUAUUGAACCGCAUGGUUCAAUAGUGAAAGACGGUUUUGCUGUCACUUAUAGAUGGAUCCGCGCCGCAUUAGCUAGUUGGUAAGGUAACGGCUUACCAAGGCAACGAUGCGUAGCCGACCUGAGAGGGUGAUCGGCCACACUGGAACUGAGACACGGUCCAGACUCCUACGGGAGGCAGCAGUAGGGAAUCUUCCGCAAUGGGCGAAAGCCUGACGGAGCAACGCCGCGUGAGUGAUGAAGGUCUUCGGAUCGUAAAACUCUGUUAUUAGGGAAGAACAAAUGUGUAAGUAACUAUGCACGUCUUGACGGUACCUAAUCAGAAAGCCACGGCUAACUACAUG